GAUGAACGCUGGCGGCGUGCCUAAUACAUGCAAGUCGAGCGAACAGAUGAGGAGCUUGCUCCUCUGACGUUAGCGGCGGACGGGUGAGUAACACGUGGAUAACCUACCUAUAAGACUGGGAUAACUUCGGGAAACCGGAGCUAAUACCGGAUAAUAUAUUGAACCGCAUGGUUCAAUAGUGAAAGACGGUUUUGCUGUCACUUAUAGAUGGAUCCGCGCCGCAUUAGCUAGUUGGUAAGGUAACGGCUUACCAAGGCGACGAUGCGUAGCCGACAUGAGAGGGUGAUCGGCCACACUGGAACUGAGACACGGUCCAGACUCCUACGGGAGGCAGCAGUAGGGAAUCUUCCGCAAUGGGCGAAAGCCUGACGGAGCAACGCCGCGUGAGUGAUGAAGGUCUUCGGAUCGUAAAACUCUGUUAUUAGGGAAGAACAAAUGUGUAAGUAACUAUGCACGUCUUGACGGUACCUAAUCAGAAAGCCACGGCUAACUACGUG
rnacentral:rRNA from 1 species